rnacentral:rRNA from 1 species
GCUCAGGAUGAACGCUGGCGGCGUGCCUAAUACAUGCAAGUCGAACGCUUGCUUGAGGACUUGUCUUCAAGCAGGAGUGGCGAACGGGUGAGUAAUACAUAAGCAAUCUGCCCAUCGGCCUGGGAUAACAGUUGGAAACGACUGCUGAUACCGGAUAGGUGAUGAAGAGGCAUCUCUCGAUCAUUAAAGUUGGGAUACAACACGGAUGGAUGAGCUUAUGGCGUAUUAGCUAGUAGGUGAGGUAACGGCUCACCUAGGCGAUGAUACGUAGCCGACCUGAGAGGGUGACCGGCCACAUUGGGACUGAGACACGGCCCAAACUCCUACGGGAGGCAGCAGUA